UACGGAGGAGGCAAGCGUUAUCCGGAAUUAUUGGGCGUAAAGCGUCCGCAGGUGGCGAUUCAAGUCUGCGGUUAAAGACUGGGGCUUAACCCUGGAAAGGCCGUGGAAACUGAAACGCUAGAGUGCAGUAGGGGUAGAGGGAAUUCCCGGUGUAGCGGUGAAAUGCGUAGAGCUCGGGAAGAACAUCGGUGGCGAAAGCGCUCUGCUGGACUGCAACUGACACUCAGGGACGAAAGCGUGGGGAGCGAACAGG
rnacentral:rRNA from 1 species